AAAAUUUUUUCAAGUUCUUCAACAACAGCCUUAGUAAUAUCAGCGGUAGAAGCCUCACCUCCCAAAUCGCGAGUAUAAAGACCACGUCCACCAAUUGAAGUAUCAUCCAAGACCUUGCGUACGGCGGCUUCGAUAGCUUCAGCCUCCUUAGGAGCAUUCAAACCAUAACGAAGGAGAAGGGAAGCAGAUAAAAUUGUACCAACAGGAUUAACAAUGCCCUUGCCAGCGAUAUCGGGAGCGCUACCGUGAAUGGGCUCAACCAAACAAUGAACCUUUUCUUCUGAUUUUCCUACCACACCGGAAAGGGAGGCAGAAGGCAAAAGGCCCAAGCUACCAGGAAUGACAGAAGCCUCAUCUGAAAUAAUGUCACCAAACAAGUUGUCAGUCAAAACAACACCGUUAAGUGUACGAGGGCUCUUGACCAAAAGCAUGGCUGCGGAGUCAAUGAGCUGGUUUUUUAAGGUAAGGUGAGGAUAUUCCUCCUUAAAAAUCUUAGCUACAGUCUUGCGCCAAAGACGAGAAGUUGCCAAAACAUUAGCUUUGUCGAGUAAUGUGACGGGAGCAGGAGGGUUGGAAGUUUCAGCUAACCAAGCAGCCAAACGAGCAAUACGAGAAACUUCUUCCAAACUGUAAGGCCAAGUGUCCAUAGCAUAACCCGAUCCGUUGUCCUCAGUGCGCUCACCAAAGUAACAACCUCCAGUAAGUUCUCGUACAACACAAAAAUCGACACCUUCAACGAUUUCAGGCUUCAAAGGGCUGUACUUGACUAAAGACUUGCUGGCAAAGUUGCAAGGUCGAAGGUUGGCCCAAACACCCAUACUCUUACGAAGCUUCAAUAAACCUUGCUCAGGACGACAAUUGGGGUUGGUCCAUUCAGGACCACCAACGGCACCCAAAAGAACACCGUCAGCUUCCAAACAAGCCUUCACAGUCUCGUCAGUCAAAGGGGUUCCAUAGGCAUCAAUAGAGGCACCUCCAAUCUUGUGUUCUUCAAACUCGAGUUUUAACUCAGGUCGCUUCUUCUCAACGACUUUCAAAACCUCCAAGGCAGAAGCAACAAUUUCAGGGCCAAUAUGGUCUCCUGGUAAGACGACGAUUUUCUUUGCACACAUGUUGUUGAAGAAGUUUUGUUGUGAAAUGGUUUCGUGAAAGUUUCAGACCCUACCGCAAAAAUGCCUGGUUUCGGGAAACUCAACACUGUUGCACUUUUUAUACUACAGAUUGGGAUAUCGAUAAUAUUGCGUAAAAAAUCCUUUUUUUAAAAAGCUUGUUUACAGUAACGUAAAUGACCAGAAAUCAGAUGAAAAUCACAAGAAAGCAAAUAAUUCACGUUAAAUCCUGAUAUGUUUGAUUUUGUGAUGAAAUCAUGGAUGUUCAUAGGAAUUGUUGAAAUUGCGCUUUUUUAACGAAAUAUACAAGUAUCCUGGAGCUUA